UAAGUAUAAGCUUUUAUACGGCUAAACUGCGAAUGGCUCAUUAAAACAGUUAUAGUUUAUUUGAUGGUCUUUACUACAUGGAUAACCGUGGUAAUUCUAUGGCUAAUACAUGCGCACAUGCCUCUUCCUCUGGAAGGGCAGUGUUUAUUAGAUACAGAACCAACCCACCUUCCGGUGGUCCUCGGGUGAUUCAUAGUAACCGAACGGAUCGCGUUUGACUUCGGUCUGCGACGGAUCAUUCAAGUUUCUGACCUAUCAGCUUUCGACGGUACUGUAUUGGACUACCGUGGCAGUGA
rnacentral:rRNA from 1 species